rnacentral:lncRNA from 1 species
AAAAAGCAAUAAUCUUGGGCUGGGGAUGUGGCUCAAGCGGUAGCGUGCUCACCUGGCAUGUGUGCGGCCCGGGUUCGAUCCUUAGCACCACAUACAAACAAAGAUGUUGUGUCCACCGAAAACUAAAAAAAUCCAACUGGAACAUACUAUUGUGACCGAUGUCUAAGCCAGAGUCAGCCAAUGAUCUUUCAUAACCGGGAAAGCAGUAAAUGAUUCCAAUGUUAGUACUUCUGUUCUCAUAUAAAUACUUCUCACCCCAAUGGUUUAUUUUUCUUGUGAUUCUGUAGGACUCAGUAGGGACUCACAAAAUAAAUGUGCUCAUCAGAAUUCUAGAAUCAUCCCUCCUUUAUUAUGGCCUUUAUCUCUUUUACUCUGGUUAUUGAGAUCAGGAACUCCAUGGGACAGGGAGUGAAUGUGUCAUGGCUUUCAUCUUGGUACUUUAGCAUAGGACCAGGAGUGCUCAGUAAAUGAAUGAUGAAGGGAAGGAAAUACAGGGCGAGAGCAGCUCCUCUCAUACCUAGGCACAGU